CACACAGAAAACAGAGAGCGCAGACCACGGGGGCAGACUGGAGCGAGGGUUUUGCCAGCGUCGACGGGGUCGGAGAAACCCGAGCCCUCCGUCCGCCACCGGGAGCCCGGGAGGCGUUCCGAUCCGCUUGGCCGCCGCCGGCAUAUCUGCUCCUCCGCCUCAGUGAGGGCGCGCAGGCAGGAUCAUGGGGCCACCUCCUCCGACAGAGCCUGUCAAGCAGUCCAUAAUCUGUUGUGCAGGAGCAGCCAGCCAAAUGAAGAAUCGCGCUUUGCCUUCGGACUUUCUUCAGCGCGAUGUUUGGGCUGUGGUAAAUGAAGCGUGCAGUGUGUAGGCAGGGAGAGCUGGCAGUGUAAAUAGGCUUGGCAGAAAAAGCUUCCAUGAGAUGGUAUCUCGCUCGUGGCCUAACAGACCGAAUGCCCUCUGCCAGUUCCCUGAUUCGUGAACAAAGUCAGGAGCCGUAUUUCUGAGAGCUUCAAGAGUCAGCCAUUUUUUUUUAUUUGGAUGCAGUGAUUGGUACGAGCUGUUGUUACUGAUUGGAUGGAUGUCACUUUUGUACCAACGCAGAGGGAGGGAGCGGACGAGAACCCUUCUCACAAGCCACCAGCGUGCUGUAGCUAAUUUCACAUCCAAGUGCCACCCCGCCGUCACAAGCCAUCUGACCGUCCAUUAUACCAGCGUGUUGUACUAGUCAUUUUGUAGCUCGCAGUUCAUGCAUUUUACUGUGCAUUGCAGGGUUUCUUGUUGGGUAGAUAAGCCAUCUACAUAUGUUGGAGAAGCUUGUGGAUCUAGACUGCAACUGCAAUGCAAGACGAGAAUGUUCAUGUUAGCGCAUUUCGCUGAUUCUUCAUCGUCUUCUUUUCCAUUGCUUUUGUUGAGCUGCUUACAUUUUACUCCUGCAUGCCAUUCUGCAUCUAGCCAUUUGUAACAUUUUCACAAUAAUAAUGUUUGCGCUAUCACCAACCGAUGCUUCUUCAUGGAGACGGGGCCUACUGUUUGACAAUUGGCAUGCAUAGGCCCAACGAAAUACAGUAGCCAAUAAGAUACUAUGAACUGAUGAUUUUCAAACUGUAACGAGGCGUCGUCACCAAUAUGAUACUGUCCAUAUGCAGCGGGCUCAAAAUCUGCACACGGAUGAUUUUCCAUUGGAAUGUGGCGAAGAAACUAUAAAUGAUGCAAACUGAACACAAACAAACAGCUUUGGCUGGCUGCUCAAGUCUCUUCAAAUGUCAGUUUCAAAA